rnacentral:rRNA from 1 species
UACGUAGGGUGCGAGCGUUAAUCGGAAUUACUGGGCGUAAAGCGCGCGUAGGUGGUUAGGUAAGCGAGAUGUGAAAGCCCCGGGCUUAACCUGGGAACCGCAUUUCGAACUGGCAAACUAGAGUCUUGUAGAGGGGGGUAGAAUUCCAGGUGUAGCGGUGAAAUGCGUAGAGAUCUGGAGGAAUACCGGUGGCGAAGGCGGCCCCCUGGACAAAGACUGACGCUCAGGCACGAAAGCGUGGGGAGCAAACAGG